GCGGUGGAGCAUGUGGUUUAAUUCGAUGAUACGCGAGGAACCUUACCUGGGCUCAAAUGUAUGUUGACGUAUUCUGAAAGGGAUACUUCUUCGGACAAUAUACAAGGUGCUGCAUGGUUGUCGUCAGCUCGUGCCGUGAGGUGUCGGGUUAAGUCCCAUAACGAGCGCAACCCCUAUCAUUAGUUGCCAUCAGGUCAAGCUGGGGACUCUAAUGAAACUGCCUACGCAAGUAGUGAGGAAGGUGGGAAUGACGUCAAAUCAGCACGGCCCUUACGUCCAGGGCUACACACGUGCUACAAUGGCCGGUACAAAGGGCAGCUACCUGGUGACAGGAUGCUAAUCUCAAAAGCCGGUCUCAGUACGGAUUGGAGUCUGCAACCCGACUCCAUGAAGUUGGAAUCGCUAGUAAUCGCGCAUCAGCAUGGCGCGGUGAAUACGUUCCCGGGCCUU
rnacentral:rRNA from 1 species